rnacentral:rRNA from 1 species
GGCGUAGGGUGCGAGCGUUGUCCGGAUUUAUUGGGCGUAAAGAGCUCGUAGGCGGCUUGGCAAGUCGGGUGUGAAACCUCCAGGCUCAACCUGGAGACGCCACCCGAUACUGCUAUGGCUAGAGUCCGGUAGGGGACCACGGAAUUCCUGGUGUAGCGGUGAAAUGCGCAGAUAUCAGGAGGAACACCGGUGGCGAAGGCGGUGGUCUGGGCCGGCACUGACGCUGAGGAGCGAAAGCGUGGGGAGCGAACAGG